GGGCCGGUAGAUCAGUGGUAGAUCGCCACCUUGGCAUGGUGGAGGCCUCGGGUUCAAAGAGCGAUUGAUUCCGAAUUCGUCGGAAUCCGUUCGAAACUCCCGACCGGUCCA
rnacentral:tRNA from 1 species